rnacentral:misc_RNA from 1 species
AAGUCGUAACAAGGUCAUCGUAGGUGAACCUGCGGUGGGAUCAUUAUCGAUCUUGUGUAGACGCGCGUUAGCGCGGCUACACAGCUGUCAGUCGGUCUUGACUGGCUGUCGGCACACCCAACGUGCGGAAAAGAGUACUAUCUGGUCGUUGCUCCUUUGGGGCGGCGUCCUACUCGCUGUAAAGCACUGCCGGACCACAAAAGUAUACUGGUGAGACACAAUCUACACACAAUAGUUACAACUAUACAUGGUGGAUCACUUGGCUCUC